GCUGUCUUUCCAGGGGCCCUAAGCCCCACCUUGCUUUCCUGCCUUCCUGGAUCCUGUCUGCUUAACAAUUCUUCUAUUGAUUUCUCAGGCUUCACCUGGAAUUUCACCUGGGUAAAGCUGGCAGGAUCAGAUGAACAUUUCAAACACAGAAAUAGCUCAUAUCUAGACGGGUGCCUUUGCUUGGCUUCUAGUCCUGCCUUGUACACCAGUGACAGAGCCAAGGUAACUGAGUCAUGGAAACUGCAUACUAAGUUGGGCAAAAGGAAAGGAGCAGAAUAAGUUCAUGGAGAGAAGAAUUCCCACUCCUCAGAAUAAGGAGACAGAAG
ensembl:lncRNA